CUUUGGCCAGCAGCAUUGUAACUAAUAUUAAUCUCUGUGUGUUAAUUUGGGGGCCCUAACAUGAUGGUGGAUCGCAGGCGGCAGGCGGAAAGAGUCAUUGUUACAUCAGUACAAUUCUAAAUAAGCAUAGAUGGCUCACUAUGCCUAUUUCAGAUGUGAUCAUUGAGUGACUCUGGCUGUGAAGGCAUAGCAAGCACGAUAUCACAGAGUUGGAAUUAAGAGAAGUGGCAGGGGACAGAAAGAGGAGGCAAGUUCACCUGGACUGAAAAUGACAGGAGGUCCUCAAAGCCAGACCUUGACUAAAGGCUGUGUUGGAGCAAUGGAGAUGGUAGAAAAGGUUUUUGUCUUGGGGCUUGGGGUCUAUUACACCAUCUUCGCCAUGGGGGGCACAAUCAGUGUCCCACACAUCAAUCAUUUUCCUUCAGUGUACACAAUGGAAAUGGCAGGACCCAAGAAGCCACAGAACUCCCCCACAGGUCCAUGGCAACUAUUUCUCAUAUUCCAUACUUGCCGAGGUUUUGGGGCCCGGGCUUUCAUUCCAUUUUGGAUUUGGAUCAAGUCACUAAAUAUUUUGGUUUCUCUUCUCUGUAAAAGAUUGUGGUGGGGGCAUGAGUAGAGAGAGGAAUAGAAACAGCAGACUUCUCUCCUCGGGGUUGAAGGGGAAUGGGCUGGAAUAAUACAAGUAAAAAUACCAUGAAAUGAAACCCUCUAUUCAAACACAGGAGGUUAUUUACAGCCUUCAACUGAUACUUGCCCUGCUCUGGUUGCCCACCUCGAGCACAUUCCACAGAAACCAUGGGGACCCAAAGAACCACAAAACGUGAUGAGUGAAUUCAGAAACUCAGCGUAUAACCAGAGCUGUUUUUGCUGGUGGUCUCCUGAGGCAGUCUUCUUGUCUCGGAUGAAGGUUUAUAGAUGAGCUGUGAGGGGGACGUCUGUGAGGGCUUGUGACAGGCUGUGCCUUACCUUAGCUGUGCUGAUGAAUGAGUCCUUGUCAUUUAGGAGGAUUUAGCGGCCACUGGCUUAAACUGAAAUGCAAUCUGACACUGUCCAGGAGAGAAAUGUUCAACUCCAUUUGGUGGUGGAAGAGAGCAGGACAGACAGGAGAAGGAUGAUCACCCAAGGCCAUGAACUUGUCCUGAGGCAUCAGCAACACUCCUAUGGAUGUAUCCUGUGGGAAAUGAUGAGCAGAGAAGUUCAACAUGGAGGCACAGUAGUCAGGCAGCUCUGAGUUCAAAUCUUGCCUCUACCGAGGAGCCAGGCAUGGUGGAUGGACUGCAGACAUAAAGACUUGUGAUCUGGUGGUGACCUCAGGAGCUGGGACAGCAAGAAUUAAAGAAAGGAGAUGACUUCCUGACGGGGAAUCAUGCCAGGAAUGUCUUCAGAUCCCUGGGGGAAGAGUUAAUUGGAGAAAAAAACCUUUUAGGAUCUGACUUUAGACUGUUGACUCUCACACACAAGUCCUUUUUCCUACCAUGUAUGCCGAUGUGCAUGACGUUAGCAGAUCCAGGACUCAGGUCUGCAGUCAGAUAGUUGCGGGUUGAAUUUGUUCUGGGAUGUUUAUCAGUAAUACCAUUUGGGCCAUGCUGUUGUCUCUGAGACUUGGUUUCUUUACA